CCAGCGAAUCNNUGGGAGCUUGCUCCCUGAGAUUAGCGGCGGACGGGUGAGUAACACGUGGGCAACCUGCCUAUAAGACUGGGAUAACUUCGGGAAACCGGAGCUAAUACCGGAUACGUUCUUUUCUCGCAUGAGAGAAGAUGGAAAGACGGUUUACGCUGUCACUUAUAGAUGGGCCCGCNNCNCAUUAGCUNUUUGGUGAGGUNAUGGCUCACCAAUG
rnacentral:rRNA from 1 species